rnacentral:tRNA from 1 species
GCCUGGGUGGCUCAGUUGGUUGAGCAUCUGACUUCAGCUCAGGUCAUGAUCUCAAAGUUCAGUUAGAGAGUUCAAGCUCUGCAUCAGGCU